UUGCUUCUUAGCCUUGGCAGAAAAGGCAUGGCAGUUUUUCCACUAUGGGAGAAAAUAAAAGAAAACUCCUCUGAACUUGACAUGAUAGCUGUUGUUUAAAGGAGAGAACAAAUCUACCAGAACUGCACAAGAAGGUCCAAGGCUUUCCUCAGAUAUCUUGUAGUCUUUGUAUUUGAAAAUAUUUAAGAGUGAGACACUAAAACAUUGGCUGGAAGCUCGGAGGAUAUGAGAGCUGGUCUGGUCUGAUGUGAGCUUCACUGCAGGAACAUCAGGGCUAUUCUCCACAGAGCUGAUGUGCGAAUUUGAUAAAUCCACAAUCAUAAUGAGACAUUUCUGACAAGCCUCUUUUGAAAACUGACUUCGUGCAGACAAGAAUAGUCAUAUGGAUAAGGAAGAAUUUACCUCAUUGUGUGGAUACCGCAAUUAACAAACUAAAUUGGAUGAAUAUACCUGGAAUACUACACACACAAAAAAAUAGAGAAUAUGCAACAACACUUGGAAUAUUUACAAAAAUUGGCUAUGUCCUAUGCCACAAAGUGAGUCUCAACAAAUACCAAAUAAUCAUCAUAUAGACCAUAUUCUUUGAUCACAAUAUCGUAAAAUUACAAAUCAGUUAAAAAAAGAUAGUUAACACCCCAUGCUGUUUUUCCCCUACUUGUCCCCUUAUAAACAGGAAUUAUAAUUCUCAGGCUCCCCUGGGCUCUGGCAUCCAGGUAGCCUCUGCCAACGGGAUAUACCGAUAGCACUGACCAUAAAUUGGGGAGGCAGAGGGCAAAAGGUAGGAUGUUUCCCACUUCCUGUGGAUUGCCACUCUUGGCUCCCAGCUUCUGUUGGGAAGUCCCCACUUUGGCUCUAACUCAUUCCAGAUGGCCCAGCUUGAAGCUCAGGUAAGACCACCUCCUUCCAUUGUCCCUCCAGACUUGAGUGGUAAAGUCUUCCUGCUGAUGCUACUCUCUGGGUUGCCUCAGUGUGCCCAGGUGACUUCUGAGCUUCUUCAUUACCAUGAAAUUAAAUCUCUGUAUUAAAUUCCCCUCCAGUUGAAAACACACACAUAUAUCUCAACUGAUGUAACCUCUCAUGCAUUUACAAAUUACAUCUAAAAUUUCAAGGGUCAGUAUUUAGAAAUAAGUAACGCAAACUGCAUAUCAACAUUUUGGAUGCAGGUAGAGUAUUCCUUACAGGGAAAUUCUUAUCCCAAAAAGUGAGUUCUGAUUUUGAGCCUCUUCCUAGUUUUGCUGACUUGCCUGUGCUAUAUUCACCAGUCCAAUUUUUUUUUCCUUUCUUUCACCAAUUCUGUAUAAUUUCUUGAUUUUUGAAGCAUCUGUA